rnacentral:lncRNA from 7 species
AAAAAAACGGCGUUUCUCUUGCAAGUCCUCCCAUCCAAUCUGCAUGCAUGCAUGGCACCCCGACCACGUCAGAAAAAAGCGCCGACACGUGUCGGCCGGGCACGCCGCCAUUGGUUCCUUUCUUCCCUAGGCUUAUCCGCCUCCUAUCCCCUUUUGGCCGAAAAUUCGUUAGAUUUCCGUGGCCCUCGUUAUCUCCCACGGAGAGAGGGAGAGAAGAAGAAGAGAUAUUAGCAACACGAGAAACAUUUCUGUGACUGCUGCUAGCUUCUAAAUCUUCGCUGCUCCUCGCCGUCGUCCUCGGCAUCGUCAUCCGCUCGGAGGGAGAAGCCUCCCACUACGAUCGCCACAGAAAACCGCUAGACAAGGAUGUGGAUCGGUCCUUGUGUUUUGUGUGCGUUCUUUUCGGGCGAUGCGAAAAUGACCCGACGUCACGCUCGCUUCGUUAAUUAAG